rnacentral:rRNA from 1 species
AGAACGAACGCUGGCGGCAUGCCUAAUACAUGCAAGUCGAACGAACUCUUCGGAGUUAGUGGCGCACGGAUGCGUAACGCGUGGGAAUCUGCCCCUUGGUUCGGAAUAACAGUUGGAAACGACUGCUAAUACCGGAUGAUGACGAAAGUCCAAAGAUUUAUCGCCAAGGGAUGAGCCCGCGUAGGAUUAGCUAGUUGGUGAGGUAAAGGCUCACCAAGGCAACGAUCCUUAGCUGGUCUGAGAGGAUGAUCAGCCACACUGGGACUGAGACACGGUCCAGACUCCUACGGGAGCAGCAGUAGGGAAUAUUGGACAAGUGGGCG